UUUGUCUAGUUCAGGAAACAUGCUAGAGGGUGGCUUCAGAAGGAAGAUGAUCCUGUGUAUUCUGUCUCUGCAUCCGAACUUUUGAAGAGAAAAAUUCGAGCUAGAGGGAUUCUUAAAGCCUUAAGUUACUUGAAAUCUAUGUAUUUGCAACCCUUUGUCUCUGGAAUCAUAUUACACUAAACUGGAAUCUCAGGCUGAAUGAGAAUAACUAAGUGGAGUAAAAAGAAGAAAACCGUUUCUUGAUCACCACUUAAUUAACGAUGCUCUUUCUCCAAAGGAUCAGCACGUUCUUCCUCUGAGAACUUGAAAAUAAAAAUGGACCCCAUGUUUUUUUAAGCAUUACCUUUUCUUAGAAGACUGCCAUCAUCUUUUAUAGAGGAAUUUUUUCACUAUGCAUUCGGUGGAUCUUUAUAAAAUACUGACCUUCUAAUUAGAUUCAGGUCAGUCUUAAUUAAAGGGGGAAAAAAGCAACGCAAGCCAACCACAAAAACACAUAUACCAAUGAAAGAAAUUGGUUUAAAUUUCACAGCAUUAACAUUACUUUUUAAGUAAAACAGUUCAUUGAAGAAAGUAUGUAUGCAGCAGUGGAACAUGGGCCUGUGCUUUGCAGCGACUCCAACAUCCUGUGCCUGUCCUGGAAGGGGCGUGUCCCCAAGAGUGAGAAGGAGAAGCCUGUGUGCAGGAGACGCUACUAUGAGGAAGGCUGGCUGGCCACGGGCAACGGGCGAGGAGUGGUUGGGGUGACUUUCACCUCUAGUCACUGUCGCAGGGACAGGAGUACUCCACAGAGGAUAAAUUUCAACCUCCGGGGCCACAAUAGCGAGGUUGUGCUGGUGAGGUGGAAUGAGCCCUACCAGAAACUGGCCACGUGCGAUGCGGACGGAGGCAUAUUCGUGUGGAUUCAGUACGAAGGCAGGUGGUCUGUGGAGCUGGUCAACGACCGCGGGGCGCAGGUGAGUGAUUUCACGUGGAGCCAUGAUGGAACUCAAGCACUUAUUUCCUAUCGAGAUGGGUUUGUCCUGGUUGGGUCUGUCAGUGGACAAAGACACUGGUCAUCCGAAAUCAACUUGGAAAGUCAAAUUACGUGUGGCAUAUGGACUCCUGAUGACCAACAGGUGCUGUUUGGCACGGCCGAUGGGCAGGUGAUUGUCAUGGAUUGCCACGGCAGGAUGCUGGCCCACGUCCUCUUGCACGAGUCAGACGGUGUCCUCGGCAUGUCCUGGAACUACCCGAUCUUCCUGGUGGAGGACAGCAGCGAGAGCGACACGGACUCAGAUGACUAUGCCCCUCCCCAAGAUGGUCCGGCAGCAUAUCCCAUCCCAGUGCAGAACAUCAAGCCUCUGCUCACCGUCAGCUUCACCUCGGGAGACAUCAGCUUAAUGAACAACUACGAUGACUUGUCUCCCACGGUCAUCCGCUCAGGGCUGAAAGAGGUGGUAGCCCAGUGGUGCACACAGGGGGACUUGUUGGCAGUCGCUGGGAUGGAACGGCAGACCCAGCUUGGUGAGCUUCCCAAUGGUCCCCUUCUGAAGAGUGCCAUGGUCAAGUUCUACAAUGUUCGUGGGGAGCACAUCUUCACACUGGACACUCUUGUGCAGCGCCCCAUCAUCUCCAUCUGCUGGGGUCACCGGGACUCGAGGCUGUUGAUGGCAUCAGGACCAGCCCUGUACGUGGUGCGUGUGGAGCACCGGGUGUCCAGCCUGCAGCUGCUGUGCCAGCAGGCCAUCGCCAGCACCUUGCGUGAGGACAAGGACGUCAGCAAGCUGACUCUGCCCCCCCGCCUCUGCUCCUACCUCUCCACUGCCUUCAUCCCCACCAUCAAGCCCCCAAUUCCAGAUCCGAACAACAUGAGAGACUUUGUCAGCUACCCAUCAGCCGGCAACGAGCGGCUACACUGCACCAUGAAGCGCACAGAGGACGACCCGGAGGUGGGCGGCCCUUGCUACACGCUCUACCUGGAGUACCUGGGCGGGCUUGUGCCCAUCCUCAAAGGGCGGCGCAUCAGCAAGCUGCGGCCGGAGUUCGUCAUCAUGGACCCGCGGACAGAUAGCAAACCAGGUGGGCCCCUCACCCGAGGGACUGGGACUUUGUUCUCCUGUGGUCAUGGGCUGUUAACGCCUUACACCCCAUGCAAAGAGAAUGUCUGCUAAUGAAAUGUGAGCCUGUGGGGGCUAGUGUGGAACAUCCUUGAAGCUACGACAUUUCCAGAAUCCCACUGAAAUGAACAGUUCUCUAAAUGUACUUUUUGACAGGUUUUUAAUCAUAUUCCAUGGGCAGUGGAUAGCUGGGCGGUGGAUAGAUGAACCA
rnacentral:sRNA from 1 species